rnacentral:rRNA from 1 species
AGAGUUUGAUCAUGGCUCAGGACGAACGCUGACGGUGUGCUUUAGACAUGCAAGUCGAACGAGAAAGCCCUUCGGGGUGAGUACAGUGGCGAACGGGUGAGUAACACGUGGGUAACCUGCCCCUCGCAGGGGGACAACCGGGGGAAACCCCGGCUAAUACCCCGUACGCUUGUUGAGUCGCAUGGCUCUUCGAGGAAAGGUAGCUUCGGCCAUCCGGCGAGGGAUGGGCCCGCGGUCCAUUAGCUAGUUGGUGGGGUAACGGCCCACCAAGGCGACGAUGGAUAGCUGGUCUGAGAGGAUGAUCAGCCACACUGGGACUGAGACACGGCCCAGACUCCUACGGGAGGCAGCAGUCGGGAAUCUUGCGCAAUGGGCGAAAGCCUGACGCAGCAACACCGUGUGAGUGACGAAGGCCUUCAGGUUGUAAAGCUCUGUUGUUGGGGACGAAGGGCGAAGGGUUAAUAGCCCCUAGCCUGACGGUACCCUUCGAGGAAGCCCCGGCUAACUACGUGCCAGCAGCCGCGGUAAUACGUAGGGGGCGAGCGUUGUCCGGAAUUAUUGGGCGUAAAGAGCGUGUAGGCGGUUCGGUAAGUCUGCCGUGAAAACCUGGGGCUCAACCCCGGGCGUGCGGUGGAUACUGCCGGGCUAGAGGGUGGUAGAGGCGAGUGGAAUUCCCGGUGUAGCGGUGAAAUGCGCAGAUAUCGGGAGGAACACCAGUAGCGAAGGCGGCUCGCUGGGCCAUUCCUGACGCUGAGACGCGAAAGCUAGGGGAGCGAACAGGAUUAGAUACCCUGGUAGUCC